rnacentral:rRNA from 1 species
AUGGGCACGAAAAUGAGAAUAGAUAAUGGCUUGAAUGACAUGAUGCAAGUUGUCUCAUUCUUUGAACAGAAAAAAUCAGAAGAUCCUCUGUUUUACUACUCAUUCAAAACAGAUCCAGCUAAGAAUGUCAUGCAUAUAUUUUGGGCAGAUGGUACAGGUAUAAGGAACUAUCCGCAAUAUGGUGAUUUCCUAAGUUUUGACACAACUUACAAAACAAACAAGUACAAUCUGAAUUUUGCUCCAUUUGUGGGUGUAAAUGGACAUGGAGACAACUGCCUCUUUGCAUGUGGUUUCAUACAAGAUGAGAAGAAGGAAACUUUUGAGUGGUUAUACCAAACUUUUCCAAAGUGCAUGGGAGGGAAAGUUCCAAAAUCUGUCAUAACAGAUCAAAAUGCAGCAAUGAAGAAGGCAGUGCCUAAGUGUUUCCCUAAUUGCACGCACAUGAACUGUUUGUUUCAUAUACUAACAAAAGCACAAAACAAAGCAAGAAGAACAUUUUCAAGGAACCAGCAUUUGAACGCUCAAUUCCAUGACGUAAUCCUUAACUCACAAACAGUUGAGGAGUUUGAGCAGCUCUGGCCACAAAUGAUAGAGGAGCACAAAGUUCAACAUAUCAAGUACUUCGGAAUUAUGUGGAAAAACAGAAAGAGAUUUGUACCUGCGUUCUUCAAGAAUGACUUUUUCCCAUUCAUGCAAUCAACAGCAAGAAGCGAAGGAACAAAUGCUGUAUUCAAAGCAAAUGUAGGGUUAAGUCACAGUGUGAUUGCAUUCAUGACAGAGUUUGACAGAAUAUCACAAAGUAUUGAAGAAAAAAGAAAAGAAAAUGAUUCAGUAACAAGGAGAACAUCUCCAACUAUGUGGAGUGACUGGGCAUUGGAAAAACAAGCUGCAAAACUAUAUAACAGAGGCAUAUUCUACAAAUUUCAGCAAGAGUUGAUGAAUUCAACAAAAUUUCACAUGAUGGAAGUGGAAAAGAACAAACAAUAUGAGGUGUACAAAUCACCAACUCAAGCACUGCUUGACUAUAACCCGAGAACAUUCACAGUAAUUGUUGACAGAGAGUCAGAAAGUAUUGCAUGUGCGUGUGGGAAAUUUGAGAAGGAUGGCAUUCUGUGUUGUCAUGCACUCAAAGUCAUUCAAGCAUUAAACGUAGAUGAGUUGCCAGAAAAGUUUUUCAUUGACAGAUGGAGACCUAAGGAAAAGAGAGUAUUUCAAGGUAAUGAACAAGAUGCAAACCUUGAGGAUUUGGAUGAGCAAAUGGCAUUCUUCUUAUUUUCAAGAAGGCUAGUUCAACUAGCUUCUGAGGCAUCAAAAAAUCUUGCAAGGAGGAAAAUGUUAAAUGAGCAGAUAGAGAAUCUGGAAAAGUUAAUUUUAGACAUACCUUGCAUGCCAGAAAUGGAGCAAUCAAAAUGUUCUGCUUCAGAUAUAACAGCUAUCACAGGAGAAAUAAUGACUUCAGACAGCAAGGGGGAGAAAAAACUAAACGAUCCAGUAUACAUCAAACCAAAAGGAAGAAUCAAGAAAACAUGGAGGCAGAAAAGUAUAGUAGAAGAAAUCAUAUCAAAGCCUAAGGUGACAUGUUCAGGGUGCCAGAAGCAAGGACACAAUAUUACAGGUUGCAAGCAAAUAGAAGAAAAGUCUCCACAAAAACCUACAAAGACUGGGGCAAGGAGUAAUCAUUGUUCAUGCAAUGAGGAAGAAUAA